UACCAGCACCCCGAGUGGUCGGGACGUUUAUUGGGCCUAAAGCAUCCGUAGCCGGUUCUGCAAGUCCCCCGUUAAAUCCAGCUGCUCAACAGAUGGGCCGCGGAGGAUACUACAGAGCUAGGAGGCAGGAGAGGCAAGCGGUACUCAGUGGGUAGGGGUAAAAUCCGUUGAUCCAUUGAAGACCACCAGCGGCGAAGGCGGCUUGCCAGAAUGCGCUCGACGGUGAGGGAUGAAAGCUGGGGGAGCAAACCGG
rnacentral:rRNA from 1 species